rnacentral:rRNA from 1 species
CAGUCGCCACGGGAAUACGAAGGGUGCAAGCGUUACUCGGAAUUACUGGGCGUAAAGCGUGCGUAGGUGGUGGUUUAAGUCCGUUGUGAAAGCCCUGGGCUCAACCUGGGAAUUGCAGUGGAUACUGGAUCACUAGAGUGUGGUAGAGGAUAGUGGAAUUUCCGGUGUAGCAGUGAAAUGCGUAGAGAUCGGAAGGAACAUCUGUGGCGAAGGCGACUAUCUGGGCCAACACUGACACUGAGGCACGAAAGCGUGGGGAGCAAACAGGAUUAGAGACCCGUGUAGUCCCUGUCUCUUAUAC